GUAACUGAAGAUGUGCUGUGUCAUUGUUGUGUAGUGUCGGUGAACAAAUAUCAUUACGCUGACCACAUGGGAACAGGUGACUAACUGAGAAGAGAAGACAUUAAAGUGGAGUGAUGCUGUGACUGUUAAUCUCCUUUCUGCGCAAUGCUGCUGCCUGGGUAGUCUGUUGCUGGUGCUGCUGUCAGAGGAGUGGGGCAGAAGGAUGACAAAACCAGGGCAAAGGGCAGAAGGUGUGGACAGUCUUUAGUGAUGGAAAAACACAGAGUCAAAACCCUCUCUAAUCCCUCUGGGUUGAAGAGAUGCCCACAUUUUCCCUCUGCCUUAUUUACCUCUCAAGCUUAUGCACCUGCAGCUUGUUGAUCUAUGUUGCUCUGUACUUGUUAUAAUGACGACUUGUCUGAAAACUCCUUGUUGGGGAGCUGGAUAAUGUCUGACAGCCGACAAGUGCAGCAGUAAAUUGACUAACUUAAUAAAAUAAAUGGUUGUUUAAAUUA